AGGCUUGUGUCUCAAUAGAGGAUGGGUAUCUACCUAAAGUUACUUUUGUAGUGGUCCAAAAGAGACAUCACACCCGUCUCUUUCCUGUCAACCCCAAAGAGACCGAUAGAAGUGGAAAUAUUAUGCCAGGAACCGUGGUAGACACCAGCGUUUGUCACCCUAGGGAAUUUGAUUUUUACCUUAACAGCCAUGCAGGAAUUCAGGGGACUACUUAUGCUGCCAUUUGUUGUUUUGGUUGAGCCUUAUUUUGUAUGGAUGUGCGAUAGAACUACUAGACAGCUUUUGGAUAUACAGAACAUGUUUGCCA